rnacentral:rRNA from 1 species
CACGUAGGCUGUAGUGUAAGUCAGGGGUGAAAUCCCACGGCUCAACCGUGGAACUGCCUUUGAUACUGCACAACUUGAAUCCGGGAGAGGGUGGCGGAAUUCCAGGUGUAGGAGUGAAAUCCGUAGAUAUCUGGAGGAACAUCAGUGGCGAAGGCGGCCACCUAGACCGGUAUUGACGCUGAGGUGCGAAAGCGUGGGGAGCAAACAG